ACGCACGCUGGCGGCAGGCCUAACCCAUGCAAGUCGCGCGCCCCGCAAGGGGAGCGGCGGCCGGGUGAGUAACGCGUGGGGACGUACCCUUUGCUACGGAAUAGCCUCGGGAAACUGGGAGUAAUACCGUAUGUGUCCUUCGGGAGAAAGAUUUAUCGGCAAGGGAUCGGCCCGCGUUGGAUUAGGUAGUUGGUGGGGUAAUGGCCUACCAAGCCGACGAUCCAUAGCUGGUUUGAGAGGAUGAUCAGCCACACUGGGACUGAGACACGGCCCAGACUCCUACGGGAGGCAGCAGUGGGGAAUCUUAGACAAUGGGCGCAAGCCUGAUCUAGCCAUGCCGCGUGAGCGAUGAAGGCCUUAGGGUUGUAAAGCUCUUUCAGGGGGGAAGAUAAUGACUGUACCCCCAGAAGAAGCCCCGGCUAACUCCGUG
rnacentral:rRNA from 1 species